CGGAUUAGCGGAACCGUUGUUGUUGUUGCUUGUUGUUUUUCUGGAAGGCACGCUACUUUUUUCGUCUUUUUCACUUGGGUUUACUUAUAUGAAGGAGUUAGAAUUGCACGCAAUUAAGGUAGUUAAAUAAAAUAAACCAGUGGUUUAAAAGUGAUACCUAUACGAUUCUCAGACAAGGCUGAUGGUAAAUCUAUAAAAAAAAUGGAAGGCUAAGUCGUUCCAUCUUAAGCAUAUUAUCCGAGGAACUUGUUCUGUCCCACAACUUGGAGGGGGGCAAAACAAGAAGAGGCUCAGACUACCCAAAUUUCGCCGUGCCCUAUUAAAUGCAAUCGCCCUGGUGGAUCCCUCGGAGCCUCCCGAAA